AUUGAACGCUGGCGGCAUGCCUUACACAUGCAAGUCGAACGGUAACGCGGGGCAAACUGGCGACGAGUGGCGAACGGGUGAGUAACGUAUCGGAACGUGACCAGUUGUGGGGGAUAAGUGCUCGAAAGAGCAGCUGAUACCGCUUACGACCUGAGGGUGAAAGCGGGGGAUCGCAAGAACGCGAGCAAUUGGAGGGGCCGAUAUCAGAUGAGGUAGUUGGUGGGGUAAAGGCCCACCAAGCCAACGAUCUGGAGCUGGUCUGAGAGGACGACCAGCCACACUGGGACUGAGACACGCCCCAGACACCUACGGGAGGCAACAGUGGGAAAUUUUGGACAAUGGACGCAAGUCUGAUCCAGCCAUGCCGCGUGCGGGAAGAAGGCCUUCGGGUUGUAAACCGCUUUUGUCAGGGAAGAAAAGGCUCUCUCUAAUACAGGGGGCUAAUGACGGUACCUGAAGAAUAAGCACCGGCUAACUACGUGCCAGCCGCCGCCGUAACAC
rnacentral:rRNA from 1 species